CCUACGGGAGGCAGCAGUAGGGAAUAUUGCUCAAUGGGGGAAACCCUGAAGCAGCAACGCCGCGUGCAGGUUGAAGGUUUUCGGAUUGUAAACUCCUUUUGUUAGAGAAGAUAAUGACGGUAUCUAACGAAUAAGCACCGGCUAACUCCGUGCCAGCAGCCGCGGUAAUACGGAGGGUGCAAGCGUUACUCGGAAACACUGGGCGUAAAGAGCGCGUAGGCGGGAUAGCAAGUCAGAUGUGAAAUCCUAUGGGUUAACCAUAGAACUGCAUUUGAAACUGUUAUUCUAGAGUAUGGGAGAGGUAGGUGGAAUUCUUGGUGUAGGGGUAAAAUCCGUAGAGAUAAAGAGGAAUACUAAUUGCGAAGGCGACCUGCUAGAACAUAACUGACGCUGAUGCGCGAAAGCGUGGGGAGCAAACAGGAUUAGAUACCCUUGUAGUC
rnacentral:rRNA from 1 species